AAUAUCAAUUUCUAUAUUUUGUAGUAUUGGUUGGUAUGGGAAGACAGCAAAACCAUGGCUGGUACUCCUGAAUAUCACUACGACCUUAAACAGAAAGCAAACUGUAUGCUAAUAAUUGUAAAUUUGAAAGUUGAAUUUUCUUAUUCCAAUUAAAAUGAUUAAUAUGUAUACUAAGUCUGCUAUUUAGAGACGAGCAUAACGGUGG